rnacentral:rRNA from 1 species
AGCGAACGUUGGCGGCAGGCUUAACACAUGCAAGUCGAACGAGAAAUCACCUUCGGGUGGUGGAAAGUGGCGAACGGGUGAGUAUAACUUGGGAAUCUACCCUGGAGUGGGGGAUAACUGUUGGAAACAGCAGCUAAUACCGCAUAAUCCAUAUUGGGAAAGCUUUAGUGCUCUAGGAUGAGCCCAAGCCUGAUUAGCUAGUUGGUGGGGUAAAGGCCUACCAAGGCAACGAUCAGUAGCUGGUUUGAGAGGAUGACCAGCCACACUGGAACUGAGACACGGUCCAGACUCCUACGGGAGGCAGCAGUGGGGAAUAUUGCGCAAUGGGGGAAACCCUGACGCAGCCAUGCCGCGCGCACGAUGAAGGCCUUCGGGUUGUAAAGUGCUUUCAGCAGCGAGAAUAGUGAUGUUAACUGCAGAAGAAGUCCCGGCUAACUCCG